AUUGAACGCUGGCGGCAGGCCUAACACAUGCAAGUCGAACGGUAACAGGGAUCAGCUUGCUGAUUCGCUGACGAGUGGCGGACGGGUGAGUAAUGUCUGGGAAACUGCCUGAUGGAGGGGGAUAGCUACUGGAAACGGUAGCUAAUACCGCAUAACGUCGCAAGACCAAAGAGGGGGACCUUCGGGCCUCUUGUCAUCGGAUGUGCCCAGAUGGGAUUAGCUAGUAGGUGGGGUAACGGCUCACCUAGGCGACGAUCCCUAGCUGGUCUGAGAGGAUGACCAGCCACACUGGAACUGAGACACGGUCCAGACUCCUACGGGAGGCAGCAGUGGGGAAUAUUGCACAAAGGGCGCAAGCCUGAUGCAGCCAUGCCGCGUGUAUGAAGAAGGCCUUCGGGUUGUAAAGUACUUUCAGCGGGGAGGAAGGGAGUAAAGUUAAUACCUUUGCUCAUUGACGUUACCCGCAGAAGAAGCACCGGCUAACUCCGUG
rnacentral:rRNA from 1 species